rnacentral:rRNA from 1 species
CCUACGGGCGGCUGCAGUGGGGAAUAUUGGACAAUGGGGGGAACCCUGAUCCAGCCAUGCCGCGUGUGUGAAGAAGGCCCUCGGGUUGUAAAGCACUUUCAGUGAGGAAGAACGCCUGGUGGUUAAUACCCAUCAGGAAAGACAUCACUCACAGAAGAAGCACCGGCUAACUCCGUGCCAGCAGCCGCGGUAAUACGGAGGGUGCGAGCGUUAAUCGGAAUUACUGGGCGUAAAGCGCGCGUAGGUGGCUUGAUAAGCCGGUUGUGAAAGCCCCGGGCUCAACCUGGGAACGGCAUCCGGAACUGUCAAGCUAGAGUGCAGGAGAGGAAGGUAGAAUUCCCGGUGUAGCGGUGAAAUGCGUAGAGAUCGGGAGGAAUACCAGUGGCGAAGGCGGCCUUCUGGACUGACACUGACACUGAGGUGCGAAAGCGUGGGUAGCAAACAGGAUUGGAUACCCCUGUAGUC